AUUAUAUCUGAAAGGGUUUCACACCUUCUGAAUUCCUUUUACCGUUUUUCACACCUUCUGAAUUCCUUUUCAAUCUUUCAUCUUCCGUCCGUUUCACCUCUUUCUCAUUAUAAAAUCUGAAAUUGGGAAUCACGGCUCCUUCUGAACUCCUUCUUCUCAUCUAACUCACCGUUCAGUCUUUUGGAUUUCCAGCGCAGUGUUUAAUCAUCUGACUUCUCUGCGCAGCUCUCCAUUGCACGAUGGCAUGCCUCAUUUCCAGGGAUAAGUGAAUGCAUCCUAUCAGAGGUUUGCAGUGUUUCAGCGGAGAGGGAGACAGAUGACUUUGUGAUUGGUGUGGCCGCGAUGCGGAAGACAUGCCGCGAGUUUUUCUUUUCUCUAUUUUUUUUUUAUUCUUAUCAUUGCUCUUUCUUCUUUUUUGGAUUCACUGUUGAUCACGGUUCAUCAGAAUUAUGAUAUUCAUUUGGGGGUAUGGUGAAGCAUAACAUCCUUUUUUUCGUUCUGAUUUAAACUAGACUGUAAUAAUCUCAGAUGCUAAAUCUAUGGUUUUGAUUUUCAGAACAACGGGAGAUUGAGAAAGAUCAGUUUCCAUGGUUGUUAUGAGUUGGGUAUUUUGUACCCAAGAGAUAAUUGUGUUAUUAUUUUGGUCAUAUUACUCUUUCUUUUUUCACCAUCUUUCAUCUUUUGAGUUUGCCAUUUUGGUUUAACCAAUUUCUUCUUCAGAUUUCGUUGUCAGGUUACGUACUACUCAAACAUCAUCUUCUACUUUGCGUCAAGGUGGACUUGGGGGUUGCAGUGGUGGGACUCUCUUCAAUCAGGGAGAGAUGGAUCGGAUAAUGACCACUUCAAGAAUGUCUCAAGUUUAUUAUUGGAUAGCACGGGAGUGAUCUGCUACGUAGUCAACUAUUUCGUUUAUUUGUACUAUGUCAUUUGCAGUUGGUUGGCGUGAAUACAUAACCAUUGAGUACUUUAUUAAUCAAAAUUUAUGAUUCAUAGAUAAAACUACUAAUUCCUCAUACUAGCCGUGAUAUUCGAGCUACAACAGCCAGUUGGUUAGUGUAUGGCUUGAAGUCUUCCGCAUGGAAAAAGCAUCUAAUGGGGGACUAAAGCUGUCAAGAUCGACAAGCAACUGUUGUAGUUAUAUUAAAGAGAAAAUCUAUUGAAGAUUCAGCAUUUGGAAAGCCACCCCUGAGCCCACAUCACAGUACCUUUGAGAAUAAAGGAGGCAUACUAACUCAUGCAAAUAAUUCACCUUCCAUUGAACAUGUGAAGAAAUUACAUUGCAAACAAGGAAAACUGCAAGUGGAAAAUACAAUCAUGUUUAGGCUUCCUAUCACUCUUGGAUGUAAACAUGGGCGGCCUUGGUAUUGUGUUGCUACAUAGUUAAUUUGUUGCUUUCUUUAAUGUCAAAAUGGCUCCCAUUAUUGAAUAUGAUUUAAGAAUGCUUUCAUUGAUGAAUUUAAUUUUGAAAUUUUUGUC